GCAAAAUAGUCCCUCUAUUUUUCAAAUUGACAAAUCCAUUACUACGAGUAUAUCUUGAAAGCCAAAUAGAGCUUUCAUCUCUUUAUGCCGUCUUUCCCAAUUCUUGCCAUCAAGAACUGAGAAUGUAUUGGGGAGACCAUUACUAAGAGUCAUCGUUGCAACAGAUGAAGUUUAAACCCUGAAUUUUUGAGUUCUAACCACCCAUAAUCGAGCUCGUGAUACCAAUUUGUUAGAACAACUAUAGUGACAACGAUUGCUUGCACACCAAGAAAGAGGAAAACUCUACAUUAUGAGAGUAAGAUUAUAGAGUUUUUAUGAAACUUCUAUUCUAUAGAUGAGUGAAGUGAGUGCAUCAUACUACACACAAGUCUCUUUAUAGCUAAGGUGGUGUCAUGUAUCUAGAGCUGUCAAAAAUGGGCCGGGCUCAUGGGCCGGCCCAUUGGCUCAUAUUUUUGGGUCGGGCCUAAAAAACUAACCAAAAAAUGCGCUCGGGUUUUUUCGGCCCAAGCCCAUUUGGGCCAGACAAAAGUUGGGCCGGGCUUUGGGCCGGCCCAUUGGCCCAUAUUUUAUUUUAUUUUUGUUAAAAAACAACAUAUUUUUUAAAAAAAUUAUCAACUAAUUUAAAAUUUAUUAACAAAAAAAUAUUUAAAUAAAUAAACUUAAUAAAUAUGGAUGAAUUUAGCUUACAGUUUUAAAAUUUUAAAGUUUAUAAAUUAUUAAUUUGAUUUAAUUGAAAGAAUAAUCUUGAGUUUAAUUAUUAUUCAAUGUUAAUGUAAAAAUUAUUUAUAUUUUUAUGUCCAUCCAAUCAUAUUUUAGCAAAAAAAUAAUGGUGAGUAUCUAAUACAUAAGAAAAUAUAUAAAAAAAGCGAAUAAAAUUUAAAAAUAAAACAUAAACGGGCCAGGCCGGGCUGGCCCAUGGCCCACCCGGGCCGGGCUGGGCUCUAGAUUUCACGGCCCAAUCAUAAACAGGUCGGGCCGGGCUGGCCCAUUUCUAUAGUCGGGCCUCUCGGGCUUGGGCCGGGCUGGCCCAUUUGACACCUCUACAUGUAUCUCAAGUAAAUAGCUUAAAAAUACUUGAGAUUAUUGAUAUAUAUAAAUCUUCAUGUUUGUAAUUUAAAAAUCAAUAAUAUUAAUAUCCAAGAAAAAAUUUAAUCAAGUGGAGUAACAAACUAAGGAAUGAUAUGUCUUAAAACUUAAACUAGAGACUGAUGUGGGACAUAUACUUGCC
rnacentral:lncRNA from 1 species